UCGGCUUAAGGAGUAAAUAAAAAUUAGACUAUUUGGCGGCCCGGUUGUUUAGAGGGGCUUGCUGGUGAACGAUAAGCCUCGAUAGGUUUUACUUGAUUUUAUUGUGUACACCUUCAUUUAGAUUGCUUGUGGAAACGAAAUCGGAAUAAGGGUGUGAUGUUAGAUCAAGGUGCAGAUUUAGUUAAGGGUAGUUAGCUACAAUAAGGAGGAUUAAACUUAAAGUGUUUAUAGAAAUGUGUAGGUGGAUUUAAGUGUAAUCGUUAGUUACGCUGACUAUAAGUCGGGUUACAAAAUG
rnacentral:rRNA from 1 species